UACGUAGGGGGCAAGCGUUGUCCGGAAUCAUUGGGCGUAAAGCGCGCGUAGGCGGCCCGGUAAGUCCGCUGUAAAAGUCCAGGGCUCAACCCUGGAAAGCCGGUGGAUACUGUCGGGCUAGAGUCCGGAAGAGGCGAGUGGAAUUCCUGGUGUAGCGGUGGAAUGCGCAGAUAUCGAGAGGAACACCUGCGGCGAAGGCGGGUAGCUGGGCCGACACUGACGUGAUGCGCGAAAGCCAGGGGAGCGAA
rnacentral:rRNA from 1 species